UCUGUGCAACAUGAACAGGGCCCUUACGUGACAACAAGAUGCAUUUUCAACUCAGACAUUGGUUAAAUUCACCUACCCUGGUCCCUGUCUCGAUCCUGCUGGUAGCUGCUAGCUCCUAGCUGCCGUGCUAGCUGAUGGCCGUUAGGCGAUAAGAGCUACCAGCU